AGAGUUUGAUCAUGGCUCAGAACGAACGCUGGCGGCGUGCCUAACACAUGCAAGUCGAGCGCGAAUGGAGCAAUCCUAGUAGAGCGGCGCACGGGUGCGUAACACGUGGAUAAUCUGCCUGGAUGCCUGGGAUAACCAGUCGAAAGAUUGGCUAAUACCAGAUAAGCCCACGGGGACUUCGGUCCUUGAGGGAAAAGGUGGCCUCUGUAUACAAGCUAUCACAUUCAGAUGAGUCCGCGGCCCAUCAGCUAGUUGGCGGGGUAAUGGCCCACCAAGGCAACGACGGGUAGCUGGUCUGAGAGGACGAUCAGCCACACUGGAACUGAGACACGGUCCAGACUCCUACGGGAGGCAGCAGUGGGGAAUUUUGCGCAAUGGGCGAAAGCCUGACGCAGCAACGCCGCGUGUGUGAUGAAGGUCUUCGGAUUGUAAAGCACUUUCGACCGGGACGAACACCCUGAAGCUAACAUCUUCAGGCCUGACGGUACCGGGAGAAGAAGCACCGGCUAACUCUGUGCCAGCAGCCGCGGUAAUACAGAGGGUGCAAGCGUUGUUCGGAAUUAUUGGGCGUAAAGCGCGUGUAGGCGGCUUUGCAAGUCGGGUGUGAAAGCCCUCAGCUCAACUGAGGAAGUGCGCCCGAAACUGCAGAGCUUGAGUGCCGGAGAGGGUGGCGGAAUUCCCCAAGUAGAGGUGAAAUUCGUAGAUAUGGGGAGGAACACCGGUGGCGAAGGCGGCCACCUGGACGGUAACUGACGCUGAGACGCGAAAGCGUGGGGAGCAAACAGGAUUAGAUACCCCCGUAGUCC
rnacentral:rRNA from 1 species